GGAAGGAAAGAAGCAAAAAAAAAAAAAAAAAAAAAAAAUAUUGUGUUAAAAAAAAUUAUCUUAUUAGAUUCAUUUUUCUUUCUUUUUUUUCCUUCCUUUUUUUAAAAUUUUUA
rnacentral:ribozyme from 12 species